rfam:Brachypodium distachyon strain Bd21 chromosome 3, whole genome shotgun sequence.
CAAUUACUUCAUCCAUCCAACAAAAGAUGUCUCAAGUUUGUCAAAAUUUAGAUGUAUCUAGACAUGACUUAGUGUAUAGAUGCAUUCAAAUUUGGUUAAAGUUGAGAUAUCCUUUGUUGGACGGAGGGAGUAGAAU